rnacentral:rRNA from 1 species
GAUGAACGCUAGCGGCAGGCUUAACACAUGCAAGUCGAGGGGUAUUGGUUUUCGGACCAAGAGACCGGCGCACGGGUGCGCAACGCGUAUGCAAUCUACCUUUUGCAGAGGGAUAGCCCAGAGAAAUUUGGAUUAAUACCUCAUAGUAUAGUAGUUUCGCAUGAAACGACUAUUAAAGUUCCAACGGCAAAAGAUGAGCAUGCGUCCCAUUAGCUAGUUGGUAAGGUAACGGCUUACCAAGGCAACGAUGGGUAGGGGUCCUGAGAGGGAGAUCCCCCACACUGGUACUGAGACACGGACCAGACUCCCACGGGAGGCAGCAGUGAGGAAUAUUGGACAAUGGGCGCAAGCCUGAUCCAGCCAUGCCGCGUGCAGGAUGACGGUCCUAUGGAUUGUAAACUGCUUUUGUACAGGAAGAAACACUCCCUCGUGAGGGAGCUUGACGGUACUGUAAGAAUAAGGAUCGGCUAACUCCGUGCCAGCAGCCGCCGCAG